CGUGAGUAACCUGCCUUGGAGUGGGGAAUAACAGCUGAAAACAGCUGCUAAUACCGCAUAAUAUAUCUGGGUCGCAUGGCUCUGGAUAUCAAAGAUUUAUCGCUCUGAGAUGGACUCGCGUCUAAUUAGCUAGUUGGUGGGGCAACGGCCCACCAAGGCGACGAUCAGUAGCCGGACUGAGAGGUUGGCCGGCCACAUUGGGACUGAGACACGGCCCAGACUCCUACGGGAGGCAGCAG
rnacentral:rRNA from 1 species